rnacentral:rRNA from 1 species
GACGAACGCUGGCGGCGUGCCUAAUACAUGCAAGUAGAACGCUGAAGGAGGAGCUUGCUUCUCUGGAUGAGUUGCGAACGGGUGAGUAACGCGUAGGUAACCUGCCUGGUAGCGGGGGAUAACUAUUGGAAACGAUAGCUAAUACCGCAUAAUAGCAGUUAUUGCAUGAUAACUGUUUGAAAGGUGCAAUUGCACCACUACCAGAUGCACCUGCGUUGUAUUAGCUAGUUGGUGGGGUAACGGCUCACCAAGGCGACGAUACAUAGCCGACCUGAGAGGGUGGUCGGCCACACUGGGACUGAGACACGGCCCAGACUCCUACGGGAGGCAGCAGUAGGGAAUCUUCGGCAAUGGACGGAAGUCUGACCGAGCAACGCCGCGUGAGUGAAGAAGGUUUUCGGAUCGUAAAGCUCUGUUGUAAGAGAAGAACGAGUGUGAGAGUGGAAAGUUCACACUGUGACGGUAUCUUACCAGAAAGGGACGGCUAACUACGUG